rnacentral:rRNA from 1 species
UACGGAGGGUGCAAGCGUUAAUCGGAAUUACUGGGCGUAAAGCGUGCGUAGGCGGUUCGUUAAGUCUGUUGUGAAAGCCCCGGGCUCAACCUGGGAAUGGCAAUGGAUACUGGCGAGCUAGAGUGUGUCAGAGGAUGGUGGAAUUCCCGGUGUAGCGGUGAAAUGCGGAGAGAUCGGGAGGAACAUCAGUGGCGAAGGCGGCCAUCUGGGACAACACUGACGCUGAGGCACGAAAGCGUGGGGAGCAAACAGG